CCGAACUUUAUUAUUUCAUACCUAGUAACAAAACACUACAUAAACACAUUUCGUCGUGCAUUACCAUUUUAUCAACGAGUAUCUGGCAGUAAAGACAGAAAAAAGGAAUAUGCAUCCACAUUUUUUUGGAAUGUUCCUUCUUUUUUAUUUGGUACAAUUUGCUACGAGUCAGUGCUCCAAUGGACAAUUUUCAUGUAUAGUUAAUCCAACAGAGCCCGGUAGACGUUUUCCGGACACUGUAUUCAUGACGUUUGAAAAGUUCGGUCCAAACCAGUGCUUCGACGAAUGUAUACGUCGAGCGAGGUGCGAGUCGUUCAAUUACAAAGCGACUGAGUUCUACUGUGAACUCAAUACUGGAUAUGGUGAAGAAAGUAACACGAAUAACGACUUCAUCAACGAUGCGAAGUACGAAUACACUUCAAUGAAUGGAUUGAGAAAGACUUUUUAUGAUCCUUGUAUUUACGCUAGUGGAUGCUACCCUGGAACAGUCUGUGGUCGACAGGGUGAUGGUACAAGACGUUGUGAGAUUGAAGACGAAACUGUUUACCAGAAUUAUUUGGAAAGUAUAGCUGUUACAACACCGGAAGGAAAAACCACGGAAGUCACAACACCGGAAGGAAAAACCACGGAAGUCACAACACCGGAAGGAAAAACCACGGAAGUCACAACAGCGGGAAUUAUUGAAUCAACCGCAGUACCAAAAGAGACAACAGAAGUAAACAAAACUGAAAGCGGAGCUACAACAAUGGACGGAUCUAAUUUAACGGAGGUGACUACAACUGCUGUUCCGAGACCAAAAAAGUAAAACCGAUGACAUUUAUACAAGCUUCUACAAAUGUUUAUAUAUUAUAAGACAGCUUUAAAAUAUAGUUUUGUAAAUUUGGAAAUAUAUAGGUUUAUUUAAACUCUUAGCAUCGUCGGUAAAAACAGAACCGAUGAACGUUGACUGUAUUUUGAUAUGGCCUCGUGUUUAAGCCUGUGAUUAUGUAAAAACUAUAUAUUUUAUCACGGUAAACCUUUUUUUUUUACAUAUACAAAAGGUCAUUAUAUUGCACGCUAUAAGUUGUUUACCCUAAUUUAGUUUUGCAUUAUAUAUAUAUCAUGUAUAUUAAUGACAUUGUUCCUAGUUUCUAAAUAAGUAAAGACGUUCUUACAUUUCUGUAAAUCUACUUGUUUUGUCAACAACAGUCAUGUAACUGAAAAAAAAACGAAUAGGAUUUUAAAUUAAAAAUUUUGCACUGCUGAAUGCAAAACACUUUUUUAGUAUCAGUGAACAACCAUUUUUGGGUUGAUAAUUCUAAAAUUCCUCUGAAUAAUGCAAAGAGCUGAACUAAUGUGCAUGUUUUUGGUGUCAUUUAAAAGGUAUUUUAUUUUGAUAUUACAAUUACUUAGUAUAACGUAAUAUUAUCUAUUGUACUGCAUCAAAGAUUUCAUCACAGUUUAUCACACAAUAAACGACAAAUAAACCCAACUCAUUCUUUAUACGCAUGUCGAGAGCCUGUAAUUCAAUGGCAAUUGUUUGUGGCUGUCUGCCAUGUUUGUUUUUUUCUUUUUCGAUUAUUGAUUAUAGCAUAAAUCAGGCUGUUUGUUUUUUCUGUAUUUAAUUAUCUCACAAAUGACGGGUUGAAGGCCGUAGGGUGACCUAUUAUAUUGUUGUAAAAUUACAUCUUCGCCCUUUGUUCUGUGGUAGUUAGUUGAUCUCUUUGGCAAUCGAACCCAUCUCCUUUUUUAAUAUUAAUCAAUUCCAUUGAACAUAUGUGCAAGUCCCGUUUGAUAUUUAAACUUUUCUUAGAUGUUACAGUAUAUAGUAAUAACUGUAUUAUAUAAAUAUGUAUAUGGGUCUUAUACGCAUAUGGUAGUCUUUCUGAUAUUGUUUAACAUCUCACCCCUUAUUUAAUUGAUUUUGUACUUACAUUGUGUCAUAGAUCAAAUGUAUUCGUUCAGUGUAUAUUCACCUGUUUUUGUUAAUAUAUGUCUUUUGAUUGA